GGGGUGGAGCCUUGUCUAAUGAAGCACCUAUUUCAAUAUAAAACUCUGUGUAAAAAUUCUUCCUGGUCAUUGUCCAUCGCCUCUUCGGUUCAUCUUACUAUUUGCUGACUUUAUGAUCUGCCUUUUAUUGAUUGACACAAACAGAAACUUUGCUGUUUUGAAGAUGUGACUGAGACCUUAGGCCUACUACACCCAGCUAAGCGGCAGACAGGGAGUAUGGAGUAUACCAUCACCAGUUUCUCUGCACUGGUUUCUGUCGGGAAAGGGAAAGUCUGUAAUCCUUCCCAGCUCCUGAAAGAACACAGAGGUCACAGGGGUGGGGUGGGUGGGGAGGUGUGGUAGAGGUAGGUGGUGGUGAUGUGACUUUUCAAAUGAAGACCAAUUCCAAAAUAAACACAGCCUUAAAAAAAAAAAAAAAAAAAAAAAAAAACCUACAGUCUCACCCCAGGGACCUCUGUACUCGUUAUCCUCUGGGAUUUUCCAGGGAUAUCCCAGCACUGUUAGUCUGUCCCUGUGGCUGUCAGCAGGCAGAGCAGCUCAGCCUGUGGCCAGGCAGGAAGAGGCUGUGCUUGGUUUGUGCAGCCCGUGAUGUCACAGAGACUGUCUCUCCCUCAGCGUUGUGCAUACCACCUACCACCAUCUAAUAAACAGCCCGGCCUCCAGUCCUCUCUCACCUCCUACAAUACAAUAGACUUAACCACUGAAAGUGUUGUGAAUUCUGAAUUGUUCAGUGAUUGUGAAAAUAAAGCAUCAGGAUUCAAGCUGUUCUCCUGCUCCCCUAAGAAGGAUAACUUAUUAAAGGCAAUGUGAAGGGAAGACUGAAGAAACCUUUAUGAGACAGCUUUAUGCCUUUCAUAAAAUGUUUCUGUGUCUGGCACAAGAGAAGUGCUCAAGAUGAAGCUGACAGUUGACUACUUAUCUUGUCUACUGAAGUGGUAAUGGGGACUAACAUCAGUUAAUAAAACGUUCUGGUAAUA